AAUUGGGAUAAAGAGUAAAGAGGGGAGGAGCCGAAGCUGUUGGGUCGCUUUUUGGAUCAGUGUUGCGUCGCUUUACUAAAUUCCACCUCCGACACCAACCAAACCCCACAUUUUGUUUUUUGAAAUUUGUUUUUCAGGCUCUCUAUGAUCGAUCUCUGUCUGGCUUUCCAUCCAGAUAAUCACAAGAUUACUCGCCCAUUCCCCUGAGCUCGAACGAUCCAAUCUCGUCUCAGAUUUGCUUUGGUUUCUCUAGGCGCUUUCACAUUGCUGCGAAAUAUGAAUGCCGGCAGGCAAGUUUAGUGAUGGGUAUCAUUGCAAUUUGUGAGAUAGUGAGUGGGUAUGUUCUUUUUCUGGCAAAAGACUAGAGAACAGAAUGUUUUCUGAGAAAUUGACUGGAGAAGAAUCUCUUGGUCAAGAUUUUGAGGCUUUGAGUGUGUCGAAACGUCUCUUCAGAAGUGUAAGCCAGAAGUGGAAGAAGAAGUCCAAAGGUGGAGGAGAAGAAGAGGAUGAUGUGCGGGGGGUUUCUUUGAGAUGUCUUACUUUAUAUGGUAGAGGUGGUGGUUGCAAAGUAGGGGCUGACACUAGUGGUGAAUUUCGGGAUCCAAGUAGCAGAAGAAGGUCAAGUUCCAGUGAAGAAGGAAAGGGAUACAAAAUGAUAUGUGGCACUGAGGAAACUGGAGUGGAUUGCUUCUCAUAUGGGGUGAAGGAGAAGUUUUGGAAGAAAAAUAGUAAAAAGGAUUUUGAACUUGAAGAAUCGGUAAGAAACAGUAGAAUGCACAUAUUUCUUCCAGAUGAUAUUCUGGAAAUGUGCUUGGUGAGGCUCCCACUGACAAGUCUUAUGACUGCCCGCCUUGUCUGCAAGAAAUGGCGAUACCUAACUACCACUCCUAGGUUCCUGCACAUGAGACGGGAAGGUUCACAUCAGAAUCCAUGGUUGUUUCUUUUUGGUGCUGUUAAAGAUGGCUAUUGCUCUGGCGAGAUACAUGCAUUAGAUGUUUCUCUAGACCAAUGGCGUAGGAUAGAUGCUGAUAUUCUAAAGGGAAGGUUCAUGUUCUCUGUUUCCAGCAUUCAGGAUGAUAUAUAUAUCGUUGGAGGUUGUUCCAGCUUGACCAACUUUGGGAUGUUGGACAGGAGCUCAUUCAAGACACAUAAAGGGGUGCUAGUGUUUAGUCCCUUGACUAAAUCAUGGCGUAAAGCUGCAUCUAUGAAGUAUGGGAGGUCAAUGCCUAUUUUAGGGGUUUCCAAGGUCAGUUCAGAUUUUUCCAUCUAUCAAAGUCAUCAAAAUCGGCAUGAUAGACGCUUUUCCAGAUCACGGGUUGGUGGGGUUUCAGAUGUUUACGAGGAUCCUCACAGGCUUUCACUAAGAAGACAAUGCAGAAAUGCUUUGGAAGAAAACGAGGCUUCAUUGUUGCCCAAUAAAAAGUCAUACAAAUUUACUAGGCAAAAAAGUGAUCAGUUGGGCACAAAGGGCUGUCGAAGGUUUGUGCUGAUUGCUGUUGGAGGUCUUGGAUCUUGGGAUGAGCCUUUGGAUUCUGGAGAAAUCUAUGACUCUGCAUCAAAUAAAUGGACAGAAAUCCAGAGGAUGCCUGUAGAUUUGGGAAUUGUUUGUUCUGGUGUUUUUUGUAAAGGUGUCUUUUAUGUAUAUUCUGAGACUGAUAAACUUGCAGGAUAUGACAUAGAAAGAGGUUACUGGAUUCGGGUCCAAAUGACUCCUUUCCCAUCCUAUGUUCACGAGUACCAUCCAAAACUUGUAUCUUGUAAUGGGCGGCUAUUCAUACUUUCUGUCUCCUGGUGUGAAGGAGACGGUCAAAUAGGCCGAAGAAACAAGGCUGUCAGGAAACUCUGGGAGCUGGAUCUCAUGCAUCUUACAUGGACUGAGGCCUCGGUACAUCCUGAUGCUCCUAUGGACUGGAAUGCUGCAUUUGUCGGGGACAGAAACCUGAUAUUUGGGGUUGAAAUGUUCAAAAUAUUUGGUCAGGUCUUGGAUUUCUUGACUGUAUGUGACGUGUCUGAUGGGGCUAAAUGGAGCCAUAUUACAAGGAAUCAUGUAACUCAUGAAUUUGAUGCUUCUUCAUGCACAACAAAAUCACUGGCAGUGCUACAUCUGUGAAGCCUAUUGUAAACUGCAACUCGUGCAGAAAAUUAAAGACGUCCUUAUCCCUAAUGGUCAUUCUGAGAGGACAUAACAACUGGGAAAAUUCUGUUUGGAAUUCUUUGGACAUAAUCCUGGACACUACACAUCUGGUCUCAGUUCCUGAUUCCGGCGGCGACUAGAGGAGGGAACUUGGGCUGCAUCGAUUACAGUAGUUUUAUUCUGAUUGAACCUGAUGUAAUGCCAGUAAGGGAGUACUGUUCUUUACUCUUUGUUAUGGCUGUGCUGGGUAUGUGAAACGGAAAGGGCAUUGAGAUUGCUCUGGGCAUUUCUAGUUGUGGCAGUGGAGAACAUUUAGCAUGCACUCAUGCGAACGGUGCUUUACCAAUAGCAUGAUCUUGUGAGGAAGUAACUUCACAUUGUUCGAUCGAAAGUCUAAUCGUUGGGUUAUGAUACACUGAUACUUACCUUU